rnacentral:rRNA from 1 species
GAUGAACGCUGGCGGCGUGCCUAAUACAUGCAAGUCGAGCGAAGCGGGGACGGGUGAGUAACACGUGGAUAACCUCCUAUAAGACUGGGAUACCUUCGGGAAACCGGAGCUAAACCGGGUACUUAUAGAUUGAUCCGCGCUGGAUUAGCUAGUUGUGAAGGUAACGGCUUACAAAGGCAACGAUGGAUAGCCGACCUGAGAGGGUGAUAGGACAAACGGGAACUGGGACACGGUCAGGACUCCUAGGGGAGGCAGAAGUAGCGAAUUUUCAGGAAUGGGCGAAAGCCUGAAGGAGAAACGCCGCGUGAGUGAUGAAGGUCUUGUGAUCGUAAAACUCUGUUAUUAGGGAAGCGGUACCUAAUCAGAAAGCCACGGCUAACUACGUGCCAGCAGCCGCGGUAAUUC